UAGGGAAUCUUCGGCAAUGGACGAAAGUCUGACCGAGCAACGCCGCGUGAGUGAAGAAGGUUUUCGGAUCGUAAAACUCUGUUGUUAGAGAAGAACAAGGACGUUAGUAACUGAACGUCCCCUGACGGUAUCUAACCAGAAAGCCACGGUUAACUACGUG
rnacentral:rRNA from 1 species